rnacentral:tRNA from 1 species
GGCUUGUGGCUCAGUGAUAGAGUGCUCGCCUAGCACUUGUGAGGCACUGGGUUCAAUCCUCAGCACCA